UACGUAGGGGGCUAGCGUUAUCCGGAAUUACUGGGCGUAAAGGGUGCGUAGGCGGUCUUUCAAGCCAGAAGUGAAAGGCUACGGCUCAACCGUAGUAAGCUUUUGGAACUGUGAGACUUGAGUGCAGGAGAGGAGAGUGGAAUUCCUAGUGUAGCGGUGAAAUGCGUAGAUAUUAGGAGGAACACCAGUGGCGAAGGCGAUUCUCUGGACUGUAACUGACGCUGAGGCUCGAAAGCGUGGGGAGCAAACAGGAUUAGAUACCCCGGUAGUCCCUGA
rnacentral:rRNA from 1 species